CCUCGACUGGGAUCCGAACCCAGUAGGCCCCCUACCUACCAGCCUGUAGACAGAUGGCCUGCAACGACGCCAGUGGUGGUUUUCAAGACAUCAAUGAACAAACAUUACUCCGCCGUUAAGGAAACGUUAACAAUGACUGGAAUGUUCAUUUAGCAAGACAGUUCUACGCACCUCGUGUCGUUAUGACAACGGCUGUUCUUGAUCUUUGAAUGGGGAAUACGGAAUUUGAUCAAGGAUUUUUUCAAUAUACGAACUCACGUCCACAACAGUUUCUUCAAACCGCUUCACGAAAGGAUGCUCCUGGAAAGAAAAAAUUUAAAAUAAUAACUGGAAAACCCAGGAUGACAUUGUUGUUGAGCAGUGCAGAAAGAGGAAAAGGUUGGGAGAAGUACCCAACAAGGAACAGCUGCAACACGCAUCAAAACAUAAGACCUGCUAUGAUAUUUCAUGGGGAAAAAGGUAGACCAUGGCUGUCAUCAUAGUGUCAUGUAAAAUUGAUGUUGAUGAAGAUGGAAUGACUCAUGAAAGUAUGUAUUGUGGUUUAUGUACUAAAUGGAAUUCAGCUGGUGCAAAUGGUCAUCAAACAUGGAUAGACAAUGGAUGUAAAACACGUAGACUGUGUCCCUACUGAUGUUGCAUGAUGUCAAGUUGUACAGUAUAUAAAAUACCUCAUAAUAUUUUUAAUUUUUUGUGUAUAUAUGUAACAACCCAAAGAUGUUAGCUAUGAAACUGACCAGUGAAUGUCCAGCAGUGCAUCCAUCCAACUGUUGCAAUAUUUAUAAACCCUAUAUUAUUAAUUAACAUUAAAUCCAUAAUUUUCAUAUUUUGUUACGUUUUUGAGUGGGGGUUUUUUUUGGUUAUGGUAUAUAAAUUACUGCCUUCAUAAAAAAUUAUUCCCGCAGAAAGUGCCUUAAUAAUAAGUGAGCACCCUGCCCUCCGCAAAUCCUAGCUAGAACACUGCAUAAUGUCAGCAACCAUUAUAUGUAUUUAAAGCUCUCUUUACAGAUAUUUGCCAAACAUAUAUGGUCCUUAUAGGUUUUAUUAUAAAUAUAUUUCUUAUUUCUUUAUUAAAACUGAAUGCAUGAAAUAUUUUUUAACCAAACAAUUUCACCAUUAUAACCAUUUAUUUGCUAAACUCACAACACAAUUUCAAGACAACAGAAUUGAUAUAUUGAUUGUCCAAAAAUAUUGUCUGUUAACACUAGAUCUUGAGGACUCCAUUUUGUAAUUUGCCUUUAAAUAUUUAAAAUUAUUUUUAUAAAUUAUUGUAAGUACAUGUUAAAUUGAACAAGAUACAUGUUUUGAUAAAACACGUAAAAGGUUUGUUUCGGAAAGUUCUGGCUGUAAGCUAUACCACUAAACGUUUUACUCACCGAAACAGGUCACAUAGUGAACCAUUUUUACGGCUGAUGCAUGCUUCAGUUCUUGACGCACGUGCAAAAAACUUUGCUACAUAGCAUCCAUUUUAGUUCUCAUUUAAAGCGAAGAAAUACUAUUAAAAGGUAGCUAUUUGGAUCACAACUGUCUAUUUAUAAAUAUUGAUAUACUUUAGAACAGAAUGCUUAUUCUCACCAAAACUGGUCUCACUACGCUAAUAUUCUUACAUAAUAGUCAACACAUUUAACAAAAUAAAGUAACUACCACGUUUUUAACCAAAACACAUGGGAUCUUAGGACUUUUCUUCCAAAAAAACCCCAAACAUUUUAAAGCAUUUAAUAUAAAC